AUCAGGUAGCUAGGUUUAUUGUCCCCAUCAACACUUUGUCAAAACAGCCGUUUCCUGAACGCAUCGAGCAGCUCUCUUCUCAUUAUCCCCAAAAACCAUCAAUCUCUCAUGAAAACACCAUGGGUCUCUCAUGAAAACACCAUAGCUAAUAUUUGUCUCCUCUCACUCCCACUUAGACAAAAUAAGGGUUUUCUUUGAAUCGUUUCCAUCAGAGACUUCUCCGUCACUUUCUUCACACUUCACAGUCCCUUCCCAAAAACCUCGACUUCCCCUAAACAUCGCUCUUUGGCUCUCUCUCUCUCUCAAGCUCUCACCAUCCCCAAUUUUACUCCUCUCUUUGCAAAUCAACCCUAAAUCUUCAAUUCUUAACUCCACUUAAUAGCUCCGACACUUUCUUCCACCAAAUCCAAUCAAAACCCUAGCCAAAACCCCAUAAUCCCCCCAUCGUCUGUAGUUCUUAAAAGCCCACGCAUCUCCAAACCCCAACUUAACCCUCAAAGAGUCUUCGUCGGAGCACUCGGUGGAAGUCUUCACUCGAAUUUGGGUUUGGGUGUAACACUCACUGAUUGCAGAUGAUGGUCGCAUUCUCCUCGCUUUUCUCUAGUUUUAUAGUGGAGAGGGUGGGAGAGAGAAUUGGCUUAUGUUGCCUAUUUGCACUCCUCUUCAUUGCGCUUCUUAGUACUGCCUAUGAAAGAGCAUGAAAUGAUAUCAGAUUGUACAUGAUUUUCCAAUUGAUUCCAUGUAUAGUAAUUCAAGGAAUGACAUUUGUGUUCCCACCUAAAUAUACCCACUCAAGAUAUUGGCUUUGGGCAGCAGUAUGACAGUUACUUAUCCAAGCACGGAGGUUGUUCAAUUGCAUACACGGAAGUAGAGCAUACUUGCUACCAUUUUGAAGUGAAACAAGAGUUUCUCAAGGGUGCCUUCACGAGUAAUAGUCUAAACACUCAUUUAGUAGAAUAUUCUUUGGUUGUGUAUGCAUGAAGGGAAUAAAAAGAGCUUGAGUGAUGCCAUGGAAGAAGGGAUCAACUUGCGGGAACAAAUAUUGAAACUGUAGAGAGAUUAUUAGCAUGGUGGAUUGAUGAAGCUAGUUGUCAUAGGAGGAGAAUCUCUUGAUGUACUUGAGAAUUGGGUUUUGGAAUUGUUUGGUAACAUCAUAAAAGGUCCCCAUGUAAAUCUGGAAUUCAAGGCAGAAGGUCCAAUUUGGAAAGCUGGAAAACUUUACACGCUAGAGGCUGUUAAAGAUGUUCAGUGGGAGAGGAGAGGCAGCAGCCAAUACACCCAAGCGGAUAUUGAUCAAGUGCAAAAUAAGUGGGGGAAGUUUGGUGUCAUCACAUGAGCACGAGUCAUGAAGUAGAGUGCUUGUUGCUGGUACAUUUUAGAAAAAACAGUGGGCAUUUUUUUGGUGCUUCUCUGCUGGUACAUUCUCAUGCACCAUAUGUGGCAUGGUUUGGAACAAUAUAUAUAUGUGUAUCAGUUUUUUGAUGUCCCAAGUAGAUGGGCAUGCACUACAAUGCUUUUCUUGUGUAAAAUGUUGGCUUCAAUGAUUGGGAAAUGCACCUCUUUUGCUUUUGAAG